rnacentral:rRNA from 1 species
GAACGAGGAUAUGUCCUUCGGGACAUAAGUCGAGUGGCGCAAGGGUGAGUAAUGUAUGGACAACCUGCCUUUAGGACAAGAAUAACUCUGUGAAAAUAGAGCUAAUACUUGAUAAUACAAGAGGAGUUUGCUCUUUUUGUUAAAAUUGGGUAUUUAUACCUUUUGCCUAGAGAGGGGUUCAUCUCCUAUCAGCUUGUUGAUGGGGUAAUGGCCUACCAAGGCUAAGACGGGUAGCCGGCCUUAGAGGGUGGUCGGCCACACUGGAACUGAGACACUGUCCAGACUUCUACGGAAGGCUGCAGUCGAGAAUCUUUCGCAAUGCCCGAAAGGGUGACGAAGCGACGCCGCGUGAGUGAAGAAGGCCUUCGGGUUGUAAAACUCUGUCAGGAGUUAAGAAAUGCAAGUCUGCUAAUACCGGAUUUGUUUGACAAAAGCUCCAGAGGAAGCCACGGCUAACUCUGUGCCAGCAGCCGCGGUAAUACAGAGGUGGCAAGCGUUGUUCGGAAUUAUUGGGCGUAAAGAGCACGUAGGUGGUUUUGUAAGUCAGAUGUGAAAGCCUUCUGUUCAACGGGAGAAUUGCAUCUGAAACUGCAAAACUUGAGUGUAGGAGGGGAGAGUGGAACUUCUGGUGGAGCGGUGAAAUGCGUAGAUAUCAGAAGGAACGCCGGUGGCGAAAGCGACUCUCUGGUCUAUUACUGACACUGAGGUGCGAAAGCUAGGGGAGCAAACGGGAUUAGAUACCCCGGUAGUCCUAGCCCGCAAACGAU